GAUGAACGCUGGCGGCGUGCCUAAUACAUGCAAGUCGAGCGAACUGAUUAGAAGCUUGCUUCUAUGACGUUAGCGGCGGACGGGUGAGUAACACGUGGGCAACCUGCCUGUAAGACUGGGAUAACUUCGGGAAACCGAAACUAAUACCGGAUAGGAUCUUCUCCUUCAUGGGAGAUGAUUGAAGGAUGGUUUCGGCUAUCACUUACAGAUGGGCCCGCGGUGCAUUAGCUAGUUGGUGAGGUAACGGCUCACCAAGGCAACGAUGCAUAGCCGACCUGAGAGGGAGGACGGCCACACUGGGACUGAGACACGGCACAGACUCCACCGGGAGGCAGCAGUAGGGAAUCUUCCGCAAUGGACGAAAGUCUGACGUAGCAACGCCGAGUGAGUGAUGAAGGCUUUCGGGUCGUAAAACUCUGUUGUUAGGGAAGAAUAAGUACAAGAGUAACUGCUUGUACCUUGACGGUACCUAACCAGAAAGCCACGGCUAACUACGUGCCAGCCGCCGCCGUAA
rnacentral:rRNA from 1 species